GACGAACGCUGGCGGCGUGCUUAACACAUGCAAGUCGAACGGUAAGGCUCUUCGGGGUACACGAGUGGCGAACGGGUGAGUAACACGUGGGUGAUCUGCCCUGCACUUCGGGAUAAGCCUGGGAAACUGGGUCUAAUACCGGAUAGGACCACUGCCUGCAUGGGUGGUGGCGGAAAGCUUUUGCGGUGUGGGAUGGUCCCGCGGCCUAUCAGCUUGUUGGUGGGGUGAUGGCCUACCAAGGCGACGUCGGAUAGCCGGCCUGGAAGCGUGACCAGCGUCACGGGGACUGGGAGAAGGACAAGACUCGUACGGGGGGCCGCGUUCGGGAAUAUUGCACACUGGGCGCAGGCAUUAUGCAGCGACGCCGCGUGCGGGAUGACGGCCUUCGCGUUGUAAACGUCUUUCAGGACCGACGAGGCGCAAGUGACGGUAGGUGCAGAAGAAGGACCGGCCAACUACGUUCCAGCCGCUGCCGUAA
rnacentral:rRNA from 1 species